rnacentral:lncRNA from 1 species
GGGGGGUAGCUCAGUAGGUAAGAGCACUUCCUUAUCACCCUGCGGACCCGGGUUCGAAUCUCGUAUUCGGCCCGUUUCCCGGCGGAUAAGGUUGAGGUCGUGGGUUCGGAUCCCACCCCCCUCACCGUAGGUGUUCCGGUAUGGAGUCCGUGGCACCGAAGAAUCGUUGUAUCGACCCUCUGGGUUCGGAUCCCAUUGGUGCAACGAGGAAACUCUACGCUGGCCUAAUUCGGAGGGUUGGUAGGCCGAUAAGCUCAGAUCUUCGGAUCCUAUGAGCUGAGUAGAGGGUGAUGCGUGGGGUGCCUCUAGUCAGGGUCCCACAGGGGUACGGUAGGGUUCUAAGAAGGACUCUUCCUUAAGACACGCGGGGCCGUUGGCCCGUGCGUAGCUAUUAUUAUUAUUAUU